rnacentral:rRNA from 1 species
GAUGAACGCUGGCGGCGUGCCUAAUACAUGCAAGUCGAGCGAACAGACGAGGAGCUUGCUCCUCUGACGUUAGCGGCGGACGGGUGAGUAACACGUGGAUAACCUACCUAUAAAACUGGGAUAACUUCGGGAAACCGGAGCUAAUACCGGAUAAUAUAUUGAACCGCAUGGUUCAAUAGUGAAAGACGGUUUUGCUGUCACUUAUAGAUGGAUCCGAGCCGCAUUAGCUAGUUGGUAAGGUAACGGCUUACCAAGGCAACGAUUCGUAGCCGACCUGAGAGGGUGAUCGGCCACCCUGGAACUGAGACACGCACAAGACUCCUACGGGAGGCAGCAGUAGGGAAUCUUCCGCAAUGGGCGAAAGCUUGACGGAGCAACGCCGCGUGAGUGAUGAAGGUCUUCGGAUCGUAAAACUCUGUUAUUAGGGAAGAACAAAUGUGUAAGUAACUAUGCACGUCUUGACGGUACCUAAUCAGAAAGCCACGGCUAACUACGUG